UGAUCCUGGCUCAGGAUGAACGCUGGCGGCGUGCCUAAUACAUGCAAGUCGAACGAGUUCUGAUUAUUGAAAGGUGCUUGCAUCUUGAUUUAAUUUUGAACGAGUGGCGGACGGGUGAGUAACACGUGGGUAACCUGCCCUUAAGUGGGGGAUAACAUUUGGAAACAGAUGCUAAUACCGCAUAAAUCCAAGAACCGCAUGGUUCUUGGCUGAAAGAUGGCGCAAGCUAUCGCUUUUGGAUGGACCCGCGGCGUAUUAGCUAGUUGGUGAGGUAACGGCUCACCAAGGCAAUGAUACGUAGCCGAACUGAGAGGUUGAUCGGCCACAUUGGGACUGAGACACGGCCCAAACUCCUACGGGAGGCAGCAGUAGGGAAUCUUCCACAAUGGACGCAAGUCUGAUGGAGCAACGCCGCGUGAGUGAAGAAGGCUUUCGGGUCGUAAAACUCUGUUGUUGGAGAAGAAUGGUCGGCAGAGUAACUGUUGUCGGCGUGACGGUAUCCAACCAGAAAGCCACGGCUAACUACGUGCCAGCAGCCGCGGUAAUACGUAGGUGGCAAGCGUUAUCCGGAUUUAUUGGGCGUAAAGCGAGCGCAGGCGGUUUUUUAAGUCUGAUGUGAAAGCCCUCGGCUUAACCGAGGAAGUGCAUCGGAAACUGGGAAACUUGAGUGCAGAAGAGGACAGUGGAACUCCAUGUGUAGCGGUGAAAUGCGUAGAUAUAUGGAAGAACACCAGUGGCGAAGGCGGCUGUCUGGUCUGUAACUGACGCUGAGGCUCGAAAGCAUGGGUAGCGAACAGGAUUAGAUACCCUGGUAGUCCAUGCCGUAAACGAUGAAUGCUAGGUGUUGGAGGGUUUCCGCCCUUCAGUGCCGCAGCUAACGCAUUAAGCAUUCCGCCUGGGGAGUACGACCGCAAGGUUGAAACUCAAAGGAAUUGACGGGGGCCCGCACAAGCGGUGGAGCAUGUGGUUUAAUUCGAAGCAACGCGAAGAACCUUACCAGGUCUUGACAUCUUUUGAUCACCUGAGAGAUCAGGUUUCCCCUUCGGGGGCAAAAUGACAGGUGGUGCAUGGUUGUCGUCAGCUCGUGUCGUGAGAUGUUGGGUUAAGUCCCGCAACGAGCGCAACCCUUAUGACUAGUUGCCAGCAUUUAGUUGGGCACUCUAGUAAGACUGCCGGUGACAAACCGGAGGAAGGUGGGGAUGACGUCAAAUCAUCAUGCCCCUUAUGACCUGGGCUACACACGUGCUACAAUGGAUGGUACAACGAGUUGCGAGACCGCGAGGUCAAGCUAAUCUCUUAAAGCCAUUCUCAGUUCGGACUGUAGGCUGCAACUCGCCUACACGAAGUCGGAAUCGCUAGUAAUCGCGGAUCAGCACGCCGCGGUGAAUACGUUCCCGGGCCUUGUACACACCGCCCGUCACACCAUGAGAGUUUGUAACACCCGAAGCCGGUGGCGUAACCCUUUUAGGGAGCGAGCCGUCUAAGGUGGGACAAAUGAUUAGGGUGAAGUCGUAAC
rnacentral:rRNA from 2 species